UACGUAGGGGGCAAGCGUUGUCCGGAUUUAUUGGGCGUAAAGAGCUUGUAGGCGGUUUGUCGCGUCUGCUGUGAAAUCUCAAGGCUCAACCUUGAGCUUGCAGUGGGUACGGGCAGACUAGAGUGAUGUAGGGGAGACUGGAAUUCCUGGUGUAGCGGUGAAAUGCGUAGAUAUGCGGAGGAACACCGAUGGCGAAGGCAAUCCCCUGGACCUGUACUGACGCUCAUGCACGAAAGCGUGGGGAGCAACAGG
rnacentral:rRNA from 1 species